UACAGAGGUCUCAAGCGUUGUUCGGAUUCAUUGGGCGUAAAGGGUGUGUAGGUGGCGCCGUAAGUCGGGUGUGAAAUUUCGGAGCUUAACUCCGAAACUGCAUUUGAUACUGUGGUGCUUGAGGACUGGAGAGGAGACUGGAAUUCACGGUGUAGCAGUGAAAUGCGUAGAGAUCGUGAGGAAGACCAGUGGCGAAGGCGGGUCUCUGGACAGUUCCUGACACUGAGGCACGAAGGCCAGGGGAGCAAACGGG
rnacentral:rRNA from 1 species